UGUAGCUCCUUGGCUCCCACCGAGGGUCACAGAUGAGUGAAGCUGAUGAAGGAGUGGAGAGAGCCUCACAAGCCAGUCAGUGAUGUGGGGAGCCUGGGAUGGACAAGGCAGCACUUGUAGAGCAUCUUUGACAGGCAGUGAAGAGACCCUGGAUACAGAGGGUAAAAGGCCAGAUUCUAGAAGCAGAUGUUAGCCCUGCAUAUAAGAGACGAAAACAGGUGAGAGCUGGCUCGUGGGUUUCAUUCUGCAUCCAGCAGAAAGGCUUUGCACCUUGGAUCACAGGGUAUGACAUCAUUCAUGAGCAUGAAAGAAGAUGAAAUCUGCACACUGAGCUCCCAGAGGAAUCUACAUCGUCUGAGUAGCAUUCUAGGAUGCUAGAAUGCUAGCACAAGCAAUGGCUCGGCACCUAGUUUUGAGAUAAGAAGAUAAUUCUACCUUGAAUCAGAUUGGGAAACAAAAACAAAACAAAACAGACAAGCAGAAGCCUAGAACACUGCUACUUCAAGGGUUCCAGCAGUGAGCUGUCUGGGAGCUGUUUCUGCAGGUGUCAUGGCCCCUCAGAAGAAAAACUGCUUGAGGUCAGGACUUGCUCUCAGCAGACUCCUCACAUCUCUGGUAACAGGGAAAGCAUUUGUCCCCACCCCAAACCGUGCCCAGUAAAGACUUGUG
ensembl:lincRNA Gm44778 predicted gene 44778